AAAAAAUUAAGAAAAAAAAAAGAAAGUUCUAGACUGGUAGUAAUAGGUUGCGCGGCGUGAUGAUGCCGUGAAGAGAUUCAACAGCAUAAGAGGAGGAGACAAAAGAAGAAAAAAACUAAAAAGAAAAAAAAAAGUCACCAGAUCUGGAUCGCAGGUGCGCAGCGUGAGAGUGAGAGGAGAAGAAGGUAGAAGAAGAGUAGAAGAGAGAGGGGAAAGAAUGUGAAGAUGAGAGAGAGAGAGAGAGAGAG
rnacentral:misc_RNA from 1 species